UCAAGCUACAAAGAGCACAAGGGGAAUGCCUUGGCACCGAGAGCCGAAGAAGGACGUGACUAACUGCGAUAAGCUACGGGGAGCUGUAAGUGAGCGUUAUAUCCGUAGAUUUCCGAAUGGAGCAAUCCGAUUAGAGGAAAGUCUAAUCAUCAUAUACUGAAUACAUAGGUAUAUGAGGGGAACCGCCUGAACUGAAACAUCUAAGUAGGGCGAGGAAGAGAAAUCAACUGAGAUUCCGUAAGUAGUGGCGAGCGAACGCGGAAGAGGCCAAACCUAAUGUAGUAAUAUGUUAGGGGUUCGGACAGUAAAAUGAAUUGUCGAGAUUUAGCCGAAUGUCAUGGGAAGGGCAAUCAAAGAAGGUGAAAAUCCUGUAGGCGAAAAGUUAAGACAUCAGACUGUAUCCAGAGUACCGCCGGACACGUGAAACCCGGUGGGAAUACGGGGGGACCAUCCUCCAAGCCUAAAUACUACUCGGUGACCGAUAGAGAAGAAGUACUGUGAAGGAAAGGUGAAAAGCACCCCGGAAGGGGAGUGAAAGAGAACCUGAAACCUUGUGUUUACAAGCACCGAAAGUUCAUCAACGAACGAUCGGGUACCUUUUGUAGAAUGGUCCGGCGAGUGAAUGUAACUGGCAAGGUUAAGCACUUAAGGUGUGAAGCCGUAGCGAGAGCGAGUCUGAAAAGGGCGCAUGAAGUCAGUUGUAUUCGACCCGAAACCGGGUGACCUACCCAUGUCCAGGCUGAAGUGCAGGUAAAACUUCAUGGAGGGCCGAACCGACUCCCGUUGAAAUGGUAGCGGAUGAGGUGUGGGUAGCGGAGAAAUUCCAAUCGAACCCGGAGAUAGCUGGUUCUCUCCGAAAUAGCUUUAGGGCUAGCCUUGGAAUAGAUUACUGGAGGUAAAGCACUGAAUUGGCUAGGGGCCGAGAGGUUACUGAACCUUAUCAAACUAAGAAUGCCAGAUAAUCGUUUUCCAGGAGUCAGACAGUGGGAGAUAAGUUUCAUUGUCAAAAGGGAAACAGCCCAGACCUACAGCUAAGGUCCCAAAGUAUAGUUAAGUGGAAAAGGAUGUGGAAUUGCAUAGACAACCAGGAUGUUGGCUUAGAAGCAGCCACUCAUUAAAAGAGUGCGUAAUAGCUCACUGGUCGAGUGAUUCUGCGCCGAAAAUUUAACGGGGCUAAACUAUACACCGAAGCUUAGGAUACCGCAAGGUAUGGUAGGAGAGCGUUCUGUACGGAGUGAAGUCGUAGCGAAAGCGGCGGUGGACUGUACAGAAGUGAGAAUGCCGGAAUAAGUAGCGAGAAUUAAGUGAGAAUCUUAAUGGCCGAAAGUCUAAGGUUUUUGGAGGAAGGUUCGUCCGCUCCAAGUAAGUCGGGAGCUAAGGUCAGGCCGAAAGGCGUAGCCGAUGCGCAAACGGUUGAUAUUCCGUUACCGUCUACAAUUUAAACAAAGGGACACAUACAAAGCGUUUAACCCGGGCGAUGGUUGACCCGGGCGCAAGGGACUGAAAUAAGAGUAGGGAAGUAAAUGUGGCGUAUGGCGAGAAAAGCUUUGUGUAUAGAAGUAGACGCCCGUACCGCAAACCGACACAGGUGGACAGGAAGAGAAUUCUAAGGCCAGCGGGAGAAGGGUAGUUAAGGAACUCGGCAAAUUGACUCCGUAACUUCGGAAUAAGGAGUGCUCGAAAGAGCCGCAGAGAAUAGGCCCAGGCGACUGUUUAGCAAAAACACAGGUCUCUGCCAAAUCGAAAGAUGAAGUAUAGGGGCUGACACCUGCCCGGUGCCGGAAGGUUAAGAGGAGGAGUGCAAGCUCCGAAUUGAAGCCCCGGUAAACGGCGGCCGUAACUAUAACGGUCCUAAGGUAGCGAAAUUCCUUGUCGGGU
rnacentral:rRNA from 1 species